rnacentral:rRNA from 1 species
GACGAACGCUGGCGGCGUGCCUAACACAUGCAAGUCGAGCGGAGUUGACAAGAGGAAGUUUUCGGAUGGAAUCUUGUUGAUUUAGCGGCGGACGGGUGAGUAACGCGUGAGCGACCAACCUUGCACAGGGGGAUAACGGACCGAAAGGUUCACUAAUACCGCAUGAGACCACGGUGUUGCAUGACACAGGGGUCAAAGGAGGAAUCCGGUGCAAGACGGGCUCGCGUCCGAUUAGGUAGUUGGAGGGGUAACGGCCCACCAAGCCUAUGAUCGGUAGCCGACCUGAGAGGGUGAUCGGCCACAUUGGAACUGAGAUACGGUCCAAACUCCUACGGGAGGCAGCAGUGGGGAAUAUUGGGCAAUGGGGGAAACCCUGACCCAGCAACGCCGCGUGAAGGAAGAAGGUUUUCGGAUUGUAAACUUCUGUCCUUGGUGAAGAGAAGAAGACGGUAGCCAAGGAGGAAGCCCCGGCUAACUACGUG